rnacentral:rRNA from 1 species
ACAUCCAAGGAAGGCAGCAGGCGCGCAAAUUACCCACUCCCGACCCGG